rnacentral:rRNA from 1 species
ACGGGUGCGUAACACGUAUGUAACCUACCUUGAUCAGGGGGAUAGCCUCUCGAAAGAGAGAUUAAGACCGCAUAACAUUAAGUUGUGGCAUCGCAAUUUAAUCAAAUAUUUAUAGGAUCAAGAUGGGCAUGCGGAACAUUAGCUAGUUGGUAAGGUAACGGCUUACCAAGGCUACGAUGUUUAGGGGAUCUGAGAGGAUGACCCCCCACACUGGUACUGAGACACGGACCAGACUCCUACGGGAGGCAGCAGUAAGGAAUAUUGGUCAAUGGACGGAAGUCUGAACCAGCCAUGCCGCGUGCAGGAAGACGGCCCUACGGGUUGUAAACUGCUUUUGUACCGGAAUAAACCUUGAUUCGUGAAUCAAGCUGAAUGUACGGUAAGAAUAAGGAUCGGCUAACUCCGUGCCAGAAACCGCGGUAAUACGGAGGAUCCAAGCGUUAUCCGGAUUUAUUGGGUUUAAAGGGUGCGUAGGCGGCUUUUUAAGUCAGGGGUGAAAGACGGUAGCUCAACUAUCGCAGUGCCCUUGAUACUGAAGAGCUUGAAUGUACUUGAGGUAGGCGGAAUGUGACAAGUAGCGGUGA